rnacentral:rRNA from 1 species
AGUGAACGCUGGCGGUAGGCCUAACACAUGCAAGUCGAACGGCAGCCCAGUAAUUGCUUGCUCUUCCGAGUGGCGAGUGUUGGACGGGUGGAGAAUACAUCGAAACCUACUUUUUCGUGGGGGAUAACGUAGGGAAACUUACGCUAAUACUGCAAACGACCUACGGGUGAAAGCAGGGGCUCUUCGGACCUUGCGAGAUUGGAUGGGCAGAUGUCGGAUUCGCUGGUUGGCGGGGUAAAGGCCCACCAAGGGGCCGAUCCGUAGCCGGUCUGAGAGGGUGAACGGCCACAUUGGGACUGAGACACGGCCCAGACGCCUACGGGAGGCAGGAGUGGGGAAUAUUGCACAAUGGGGGAAAACCUGAUGCAGCGACGCCGCGUGAAGGAAGAAGUAUCUCGGUAUGUAAACUUCUAUCAGCAGGUAAGAUAAUGACGGUACCUGACUAAGAAGCCCCGGCUAGCUACAUG